rnacentral:rRNA from 1 species
UGGGGAAUAUUGGACAAUGGGCGAAAGCCUGAUCCAGCCAUGCCGCGUGUGUGAAGAAGGUCUUCGGAUUGUAAAGCACUUUAAGUUGGGAGGAAGGGCAGUAAGCGAAUACCUUGCUGUUUUGACGUUACCGACAGAAUAAGCACCGGCUAACUCUGUGCCAGCAGCCGCGGUAAUACAGAGGGUGCAAGCGUUAAUCGGAAUUACUGGGCGUAAAGCGCGCGUAGGUGGUUCGUUAAGUUGAAUGUGAAAGCCCCGGGCUCAACCUGGGAACUGCAUCCAAAACUGGCGAGCUAGAGUAGGGCAGAGGGUGGUGGAAUUUCCUGUGUAGCGGUGAAAUGCGUAGAUAUAGGAAGGAACACCAGUGGCGAGGGCGACAACCUGGGCUCAUACUGACACUGAGGUGCGAAAGCGUAGGGAGCAAACAGG